GUGGUCCCCAGGAGGGUUGAGAAGUCUCUGUUAAGUGUCCUCUGGGAGGCUGAGAAGUCUAAAGUUUCCCUUGGCAAGAAUGACUCCUGCACUCUUAUGAAUCACUUGUCCCAGAGAUGGGUUCCAUGCAAUGAAACACACUGUUGUGAAAAGGCCACAGCUGUGGAUCAGGCAGAAGUUGGCAAAGUCAGGCCCUCAGGCAGGAGAGUCACUGCAUGACUACUAUGCUAUUUACCCCCACGCAGGACACUUCCAUACAAAGAAGACAUUCCAAAAGUUAAGGCUAUAAAACCUUGAUGUGAGUGUCUCGGACAGUUUGGGAUGUGGAGUCCAACAGACCUGGGUUAACUGACCCAUUGCUGUCGUUGUGCAAGUCACGUUAAGCAUCUGAGUCACUGAGUGUGCUGGCGACGCUGGUAGGUACUGUCUCAAGGGUGAGCAUCAAGUCAAGACAAGAAGGCAUCAUGGACACACCGUGUGGCGUUUGGCACACGCUGAACAGAGAGGCACUGACACUGUAGGUGAGGCUCUGCCGUACUUCUCUGCAAUGUGGAUGGUUUGGGAAUGCUCCAGAUUGGGGAAGGAGGGAUGAUUGUGGCUGGUAAAACGACAAAUACUUUCAGUGUUUCAAAAUGAAGCUAAAUUGAAACUUGAUAUUUUUGAGCAAAAAUUUUAAGUCAAGGCAAGACUUGCUGGAGGACCAGGAAGUUCUCUCCCAUGAUUGUGGGUCUCAGGCAGGGUGUCGGAAUGCCUCUUGCUCCCCUAACUUCCUUCUCUUUGCUUUGGUGACUGCCCACAGACAGGCCAGCUCCCAGUCAUCUGAAACACCGCUUAGAAGGCAGGAAUUUGCAAUCCAUUCCAAACUGAAAGUGACUUUCAUGUGAUGGGGCCAGCACUGCUCUGUGACUCUGUAACUAAUUCUCCCAUUCCUGGCAGCCCUCCAGAUUCCUGGGACGUAAUCAAUUGGUCCAAGGACCCCAGGUCAGAUGC